UAACGGAGUGAAGUGGAGUCACACCGAUAACGGUGGAUAGCGGUAUAACUUAACGGAUAACGGCCAAUUGCGGCAAUAACGGACCGCUAUUGCCGUUAUUUUCCGUUACCGUAAAUUAAAAAAAAAUCAAGAGAUGUAGGUAUUGAAUAGUGAUGUACUUUACAAUAAAACAAAAGGGAAUAUAUUCCCCUACCUGCAAAACCAGAGGGCUUUCAAUCAAAAAAAAGUAAAAACAUAUAUACACUAUACAGAACUCCAAAUAAACAGAAAAAAACUCCAAAGUUCAAAACUCACAAGCAAACAAAAAUGCGAAAUUCUAUUUCUCCAUAUUUCGGCAAACAACAGAGUCACAGACAGCAGCAAUAGAAACUCUAUUCUUAAUUUCAACAUGCCACCACGUGAAGAGUUCUCGACUGAAGGAUUGGAGGGUGCACCAAGUAAUGAUAUAGGUUGGCACUUUGGAACUCCAGUGCCAAAUGUGAGAGGAAAUAUCGUAUGUAAACUUUGUGGUAAAGUUGUGAAAGGAGGAAUAACACGAUUUAAAGAGCACAUUGCUCAUAAAACCGGCAAUGUUGCACCAUGCCCUAAUGUUACUGGUAUGUGAUAUAUUUUUUUUAUUUUUAAAUGUUAUUGUAAAUUUAUCAAUAAAGAUUAUAUAUAAUUGAUAAUAAUAUAAAGUGUGAAUUAUUUUUAUUUUA